rnacentral:rRNA from 1 species
GAGCGGCGAACGGGUGAGUAACACGUGAGUAACCUGCCCUUGACUUUGGGAUAACCCUCGGAAACGGGGGCUAAUACCGGAUAUGACUUUUCUCCGCAUGGGGAAGGGUGGAAAGUUUUUCGGUUGGGGAUGGGCUCGCGGCCUAUCAGCUUGUUGGUGGGGUGAUGGCCUACCAAGGCGACGACGGGUAGCCGGCCUGAGAGGGCGACCGGCCACACUGGGACUGAGACACGGCCCAGACUCCUACGGGAGGCAGCAGUGGGGAAUAUUGCACAAUGGGCGGAAGCCUGAUGCAGCGACGCCGCGUGAGGGAUGACGGCCUUCGGGUUGUAAACCUCUUUCAGCAGGGACGAAGCGUAAGUGACGGUACCUGCAGAAGAAGCGCCGGCCAACUACGUGCCAGCAGCCGCGGUAAGACGUAGGGCGCGAGCGUUGUCCGGAUUUAUUGGGCGUAAAGAGCUCGUAGGCGGCUUGUCGCGUCGUUCGUGAAAACCCACAGCUCAACUGUGGGCUUGCGGUCGAUACGGGCAGGCUCGAGUUCGGUAGGGGAGACUGGAAUUCCU